AUGGAUCAAGAAACGGCAGACAACAUCGUGGCUGUGCUCAAUCAAGCAAGCUAUCCAGGAGCGAGGGUCUUCGAUUUUCCAAUUGGGGAGCAAGGCUCUUCGAUUGAGAAAUCCAUUGAGGAACUCAAAUCUUCAAUCAACUUCCUCUCAGCCGACAUGCAAGCUAUAAAAGCGGGGGUGGUGUGGCCCACCCUGAGCAUCCUCCCCCCCUCCAGAGUAGAGCUGCAGCAGGGCAGUGCCACACUGGUCUGUAUGGCCGACGGGGGCUUCCCCUCUGCCUGGAGGCUGGGCUGGAAGGUGGGGGGCAGCAGCAGGACCUCAGGGGUGUCAGACAGCCUGGAGCAGCUGGGGAGUGACGGACACUACAGGUGGAGCAGCACCCUCAGCCUCCCUGCAGACCAGUGGAAGAAGAUGGGCUCAGUCAGCUGUGAGGCCACCCUGAACGGUCAGACGUCUGUCACUCAAACCCUGGACCCUGACCACUGUUCAGAGUAGAGAGGCAGCAGUAGUGAAUCUCUAUACAGAUGAAAUCUUCCUAUAGAGUCACCUUAACCAAAGUCUGCUUAGGUCCUGUCUAUAUGUCAGCUAUUACUUUGCCUUUAGGUUGGAUUAGAAAUACUUCAUCAAAUAUGUGUCUGUAUAGAUUAGCUUUGCUCUUUUUAUGUACUCGUUGCUGAGAUCAACUGCAAAUUUUGUG